rnacentral:rRNA from 1 species
CAGCAGCCGCGGGAAUACGUAGGUGGCAAGCGUUGUCCGGAAUUAUUGGGCGUAAAGGGCUCGCAGGCGGUUUCUUAAGUCUGAUGUAAAAGCCCCCGGCUCAACCGGGGAGGGUCAUUGGAAACUGGGAAACUUGAGUGCAGAAGAGGAGAGUGGAAUUCCACGUGUAGCGGUGAAAUGCGUAGAGAUGUGGAGGAACACCAGUGGCGAAGGCGACUCUCUGGUCUGUAACUGACGCUGAGGAGCGAAAGAGUGGGGAGCGAACAGGAUUAGAUACCCGCGUAGUCCCUGUCUCUUAUAC